rnacentral:lncRNA from 12 species
GAUCUGAAAUCCUUGGAACUUAGUAUCUUGCCUUCUCCAUAGUAGGACUUUUUAAAAACAAACAAACAAAUUUUUUUAAAGAUUAUAUUUAUUUAUUCAUGAGAGACACACACAGAGAGGCAGAGACACAGGCAGAGGGAGAAGCAGGCUCCCUGUGGGAAGCCCGACUCGAUCUCAGGACUCCGGGAUCAUGACCUGAGCCGAAGACAGACUCUCAACCGCUGAGCCACCCAGGUGUCCCAAACAAACAAACUUCAAAAAAUUGUUAAAUAUAAUAAAAAACACAGAAAACAGAUGGACAGUUUUAUGACCUGUUGGACAGUACCACCCCUGCCCCACACAGGACCCAGAGCCUUCUCAGUGAGCCAGGACCCUUCCAUGCCCACCCCCACAACCCCCAAGACACAACCCUCUUCCUCCCCAGAAGAGUAGGUUUUAGAAGGCUAUGGCAAGUUCAGAACCCUGCCCUUAGUAUUCUUCUGAGUAUUACUCUACCCCUCAGAAGUAAAGUUUUACAUUUUUCCUUUGGUUCAAAAGAUUUUCAUCUCAAAGUUUUACAAAACAGUACAAUUCAGACAUGCCUUAUUAGACAUGCGAUUUUCACUUUAUCAUAUCAAGGAGAUGGAGCAGCUCUGGGGCAGACUCAUUCCUGAUUCACAGCUAAUUCCGAGAACAUAAUGUCAUAAAGGAUCUUCAGAUGCAAACGCAUAAUUCUAUCGUGGUGGAGUGAAGAAAUUAAAAUGUUAUUUAAAGUAACCUCAAUGCCAGCUUCAGUGAAUAAAGUUAGGGUCUCAAGAGACUGUCUGCAGAGUCAUUAUGUUGUAACACUGUUAAAAGUCAUUCAGUUCCAGACCGGAAAUAUUAUAAAAAUGGGCAACGUGUUCCCUGUCCAGCUGUUCUCAGAAUGCCCAGAUCUUGGCAACCACAACAAGGAUCGAAAAGUAGAGAUACGUGCAUUUCGUCUGGAAGUUUCAAAGCUCUCAUCCCAGGAACGUUCCACAGAGUCUGGAGCCUGAGGCCCAGCGGCCAAGUGGCGGCCUUCACUGUGCUUCGAGGACCCCAUCUCACCCCUCCUGGUCUGAAGGAGGGGGGCACGAUUUGGAGGCAGCUGGGGUUACAGGAUGACAAAUGUCGCUUGCAGGACGCAAUGGGAGCUCCCACAGCAAGGCCUGGAAAACAUUAGUGAGAGAUGGGGAAGACACAAUCGCAUUACCCUUCUCUUUCUAUCCAUCACUGCCUUUCUCUAGUCAAUAAAUGUCUCCCAGCUAUUGCCUCUCGGCCUCUU